rnacentral:sRNA from 1 species
UUUUGGCGGGAAGCACGUAUUUGGUUGGUCCAUGUUCGUGUGUGCUGUGGUGACGUUACUCAUGCCUGUGGCAGCCAGAUGGAGCUACAUUGCUCUAAUUGUGACCAGGAUUAUAGCUGGAACUUGCCAGGGUUUCGUGUGGCCAGCCAUGGCAGUGUUAUGGGCAAGAUGGGCCCCUCCGUUGGAAAGAGGAAUUCUCUGCAGUAUAUGUUAUGCUGGUUCUCAAAUUGGUAAUGUUUUAACUUUUCCCAUUGCCGCAUCACUUUGUGAGUACGGAUUUGAUGGGGGUUGGCCAGCAGUUUUUUAUGUACUAGGUAAGUCAGCAUAUAUUUUCC